CCUACGGGAGGCAGCAGUGAGGAAUAUUGGUCAAUGGUCGCGAGCCUGAACCAGCCAAGCCGCGUGAGGGAGGAAUGUCCAGCGUAUCGUAAACCUCUUUUGUCAGGGAAUAAAGACUGGCACGUGUCCCUGGUUGUGUGUACUUGAUGAAUAAGCAUCGGCUAACUCCGUGCCAGCAGCCGCGGUAAUACGGAGGAUGCGAGCGUUAUCCGGAUUUAUUGGGUUUAAAGGGUGCGUAGGUGGGUUGUUAAGUCAGGUGUGAAAGCUCGCGGCUCAACCCUAGCACUGCAGUUGAAACUGGCAGUCUUGAGUAGAGUAGAGGUAGGCGGAAUUCGCGGUGUAGCGGUGAAAUGCAUAGAUAUCACGAAGAACUCCGAUUGCGAAGGCAGCUUACCAACUUCACACUGACACUGAGGCACGAAAGCGUGGGUAUCAAACAGGAUUAGAUACCCGUGUAGUC
rnacentral:rRNA from 1 species